AGCUGCAGUAGGUAGGGCUUAUUUGCCCUGCCUUGACCCAACUAUGGGCUGUAGGCUUCUAAGCUGUGUGGCCUUCUGCCUCUUGGGAGUAGGCCCUUUGGAGACGUCUGUUUUCCAGACUCCAAACUAUCGUGUCACACAGGUGGGAAAUGAAGUGUCUUUCAACUGUGAGCAAACUCUGGGCCACGAUACUAUGUACUGGUACAAGCAAGACUCUAAGAAAUUGCUGAAGAUUUUGUUUAGCUACAAUAAUAAGCAACUCAUUGUAAACGAAACAGUCCCAAGGCGCUUCUCACCUCAGUCUUCAGAUAAAGCUCAUUUGAAUCUUCAAAUCAAGUCUGUAGAGCUGGAGGACUCUGCUGUGUAUCUCUGUGCCAGCAGCUAA